GUGAGCGAGGGGUGCCUUUCGGGGAGCCGUAAGACAGGUGCUGCAUGGCUGUCGUCAGCUCGUGUCGUGAGAUGUUGGGUUAAGUCCCGCAACGAGCGCAACCCUCACCCUAUGUUGCCAACGGUUCGGCCGGGCACUCUUAGGGAACUGCCGGCGAAGAGCUGGAGGAAGGGGGGGAUGACGUCAAGUCCGUAUGCCCCUUAUGUCCAGGGCUACACACAUGCUACAAUGGUCGGUACAGAGGGUUGCCAACCCGCAAGGGGGAGCCAAUCCCAGAAAGCCGAUCUCAGUUCGGAUUGUAGGCUGCAACUCGCCUACAUGAAGUAGGAAUCGCUAGUAAGCGCAGAUCAGCAGGCUGCGCUGAAUACGUUCCCGGGCCUUGUACACACCGCCCGUCACACCACGAAAGCCAGCUGUACCAGAAGUCGCUGAGCUAACCGCAAGGAUGCAGGCGCCCAAGGUAUGAUUGGUGAUUGGGGUGAAGUCGUAACAAGGUAACCGU
rnacentral:rRNA from 1 species